UGUAUAGGGAUUAAGAACUUGAC
rnacentral:piRNA from 1 species